rnacentral:rRNA from 1 species
ACGCUGGCGGCGUGCCUAAUACAUGCAAGUAGAACGCUGAAGGAGGAGCUUGCUUCUCUGGAUGAGUUGCGAACGGGUGAGUAACGCGUAGGUAACCUGCCUGGUAGCGGGGGAUAACUAUUGGAAACGAUAGCUAAUACCGCAUAAUAGUAGAUGUUGCAUGACAUUUGCUUAAAAGGUGCAAUUGCAUCACUACCAGAUGGACCUGCGUUGUAUUAUCUAGUUGGUGGGGUAACGGCUCACCAAGGCGACAAUACAUAUCCGACCUGAGAGGGUGAUCGGCCACACUGGGACUGAGACACGGCCCACACUCCUACGGGAGGCAGCAGUAGGGAAUCUUCGGCAAUGGACGGAAGUCUGACCGAGCAACGCCGCGUGAGUGAAAAAGGUUUUCGGAUCGUAAAGCUCUGUUGUAAGAGAAGAACGAGUGUGAGAGUGGAAAGUUCACACUGUGACGGUAUCUUACCAGAAAGGGACGGCUAACUACGUGCCACCAGCCGCGGUAAUACGUAGGUCCCGAGCGUUGUCCGGAUUUAUUGGGCGUAAAGCGAGCGCAGGCGGUUAGAUAAGUCUGAAGUUAAAGGCUGUGGCUUAACCAUAGUACGCUUUGGAAACUGUUUAACUUGAGUGCGAGAGGGGAGAGUGGAAUUCCAUGUGUAGCGGUGAAAUGCGUAGAUAUAUGGAGGAACACCGGUGGCGAAAGCGGCUCUCUGGCUUGUAACUGACGCUGAGGCUCGAAAGCGUGGGGAGCAAACAGGAUUAGAUACCCUGGUAGUCCACGCCGUAAACGAUGAGUGCUAGGUGUUAGACCCUUUCCGGGGUUUAGUGCCGCAGCUAACGCAUUAAGCACUCCGCCUGGGGAGUACGACCGCAAGGUUGAAACUCAAAGGAAUUGACGGGGGCCCGCACAAGCGGU